GAAAGAAAUAUACUUUUUUUUAAGUUAUGAAACUGUGGUGGUUAUCCGAAAUUGUCAGUGAUGCAUAAGUCGAAGAUUUACCGAGCUACUACUAUUGCUUGCCUGUUGAGCACCAAAACUCAGGGGUGGAUGAAGAAGCUCUGCUUGUGGAAAGGAGCUGUUUGACCUCACAUCCAGCAGGAGAUCCUGGUCAGAACUAUCCUCAUCGAAAUGCAGAGACUCCAGUGUGAAGGAACCACCAUCAGAAGGCAAAGCGAAUAAACUUCUUGGACUGAAGCACGAACCAUCGCUGUCCACAAGUUCCUUGCUUUCCACGCUUGCCUUUGUCAUCACCCUUUUGGGACUUUUCAUUGCAGUCCUUGUUUCUGAAAGCUUUUUGUUUUGGCCAUCAAGCACUCUCUUGUCAUUCAUAAAGCUACUUGAUGCAGCAGCAAAACCUUGAACAGACUCUCCACUACUAAAUUUCUUGAGUAGAUGAUAUCGCUCCAC
rnacentral:misc_RNA from 1 species